CUCUUCCAGAUCGCGUCCCACCAGAAUCCGGAAGCCGCCGGAUAGUUGGGACACUCUCACCAGCGCGAAGUGGCUCUUGGUGUCGGUUUCUUCCAGCCGUUUGUAAAACGUCUCGGCCCAGCCAGGAUGAUCCAUCACCCCCGGCUCAAGCGAGGCGACAUUGCCGGCGACGCCCUGCCCCUGCGGGGUUGUCACCAGAUA
rnacentral:misc_RNA from 1 species